UACGGAGGUGGCAAGCGUUGCUCGGAAUCACUGGGCGUAAAGGGCGCGUAGGCGGGGAGGUAAGUCGGGUGUGAAAUCCCUCGGCCCAACCGAGGAACUGCGCCCGAGACUGCUUCUCUUGAGUCCCGGAGAGGAAGGUGGAAUUCCCGGUGUAGCGGUGAAAUGUGUAGAGAUCGGGAGGAACACCGGUGGCGAAGGCGGCUCUCUGGUCUGUAACUGACGCUGAGGCGCGAAAGCGUGGGGAGCGAACAGG
rnacentral:rRNA from 1 species